UACAGAGGUCCCAAGCGUUGUUCGGAUUCAUUGGGCGUAAAGGGUGUGUAGGUGGCGCCGUAAGUCGGGUGUGAAAUCUCGGGGCUUAACUCCGAAACUGCAUUCGAUACUGCGGUGCUUGAGGACUGGAGAGGAGACUGGAAUUCAUGGUGUAGCAGUGAAAUGCGUAGAGAUCAUGAGGAAGACCAGUGGCGAAGGCGGGUCUCUGGACAGUUCCUGACGCUGAGGCACGAAGGUCAGGGGAGCAAACGGGG
rnacentral:rRNA from 1 species